AACCGACACAGGUGGUCAGGUAGAGAAUACCAAGGCGCUUGAGAGAACUCGGGUGAAGGAACUAGGCAAAAUGGUGCCGUAACUUCGGUAGAAGGCACGCUGACACGUAGGUGAAGUGAUUUACUCACGGAGCUGAAGUCAGUCGAAGAUACCAGCUGGCUGCAACUGUUUAUUAAAAACACAGCACUGUGCAAACACGAAAGUGGACGUAUACGGUGUGACGCCUGCCCGGU
rnacentral:rRNA from 1 species